GUGGGUGUGGCGCAGUUGGCUAGCGCGUCAGAUUGUGGCUCUGAAGGCCGUGGGUUCGAGUCCCAUCACCCACC
rnacentral:tRNA from 1 species